CCUACGGGUGGCAGCAGUGGGGAAUAUUGCACAAUGGAGGAAACCCUGAUGCAGCGACGCCGCGUGAGUGAAGAAGUACUUCGUUAUGUAAAGCUCUUUCAGCAGGGACGAAAAUGACGGUACCUGAGUCAGAAUCCGCGGCUAACUACUUGCCAGCAGCCGCGGUAAUACGUAGGGGGCCAGCUUUAUCCGGAUUUAUUGGGUGUAAAGGGAGCGUAGACGGCAGUGCAAGUCUGGAGUGAAAGGCGGGGGCUCAACCCCCGUACUGCUCUGGAAACUGUACGGCUGGAGUGCAGGAGAGGUAAGUGGAAUUCCUAGUGUAGCGGUGAAAUGCGUAGAUAUUAGGAGGAACACCAGUGGCGAAGGCGGCUUACUGGACUGUAACUGACGUUGAGGCUCGAAAGCGUGGGGAGCAAACAGGAUUAGAUACCCGAGUAGUC
rnacentral:rRNA from 1 species